UACGGAGGGGGCGAGCGUUAUUCGGAAUUAUUGGGCGUAAAGGGCGCGUAGGCGGCUUGAUGUGUCAAAGGUGAAAUCCCUCGGCUCAACUGAGGAACUGCCUUUGAAACUGUCUGGCUUGAGGCCGGGAGAGGGUAGCGGAAUUCCCAGUGUAGCGGUGAAAUGCGUAGAUACUGGGAGGAACACCGGUGGCGAAGGCGGCUACCUGGACCGGUUCUGACGCUGAUGCGCGAAAGCGUGGGCAGCAAACAGG
rnacentral:rRNA from 1 species